GAGUUCAUGCACAUCAGAGGGUGUCCUGUGCCCCGUGGGAGCCCUGAGAGGCUCCUGGGUGGAGUCCAGCUGUGCCUCCUGCUCCACCAGAAAGACUCUGGAAAUAAUUGCUUAUCCAGAGGAUGGCAAGAUUUGAGCAGUAUGAUGCUGACACAAGGAUCUUCAGCAGUCACAAGGAUGGCCCAUGCUGGUGGCGAAGAUUUGUACAACUCUGCAGUUUUCCAUGAAGAAGGUUCACCACCCUCCACCUAUGCCAUUGUCAUGGUGUCUCUCAGUGGAAGCCUCCUGCUGCUGGUUGCCAUCAGCACGGCCAUAAGUGUUCUCCGGAGGCACUGCACAUCAAAUUAUUCCUCCAAAGACCUCAGAACACCCGUGAUGGUGGAAAAAGUUACUGUGGCAAACUGCAGCUCUGACAAGAUUUCAACAGCGGAUUUAACUGGCCCAAUAUGCAUAAAUUACAUUUCUUACAAGCAAAAUGUGUGCCCAGCCAGAGUUUGCCAUCUCUGAAGAGACAAUUUCCAUUUCUGAUGCUCCUCCUUUGACAACAGCCCCUAAUCCAGUGCCAGAGCAAUGACAGCCCACAGCUUCUUCCAUUUGCAGCUUUCUUAUGGAGAGAAAAGGGGAUAAAGAACUCAGGGGAUGUGUGCUAGUGGGUGGAUGGACUGACAUGUUGCACUUCAUUUUCUCCACCAAAGUGCUGGACUGUGAACUCAUACCACAAAAGUAUUAGAAAAGGCAGGAAAUUGAGUUUUUUAAUGGAAGUGGAGAAAUAGCAUAGAUACAGAUACCUUUUCUCUGUGACG
rnacentral:lncRNA from 1 species